rnacentral:rRNA from 1 species
UACGUAGGGGCCUAGCGUUGUCCGGAUUUAUUGGGCGUAAAGAGCUCGUAGGCGGCGCGGUAAGUCGGGUGUGAAAUCUCGGAGCUUAACUCCGAAACUGCAUUCGAUACUGCCGUGCUUGAGGACUGGAGAGGAGACUGGAAUUUACGGUGUAGCGGUGAAAUGCGCAGAUAUCAGGAGGAACACCGAUGGCGAAGGCAGCUCGCUGGGACGGUACUGACGCUGAGACGCGAAAGCGUGGGGAGCAAACAGG